rnacentral:piRNA from 1 species
UCCAUAGUACAGGAAGAAAAGAAGGAGC